rnacentral:rRNA from 1 species
UACGUAGGGUGCGAGCGUUGUCCGGAAUCACUGGGCGUAAAGGGCGCGUAGGCGGUGCGAUAAGCGUGCGGUGAAAGCCUGGGGCUCAACCCCGGGUCGGCCGUGCGAACUGUCGGACUCGAACACUGUAGGGGCAGGCGGAAUUCCGGGUGUAGCGGUGGAAUGCGUAGAGAUCCGGAAGAACACCGGUGGCGAAGGCGGCCUGCUGGGCAGUGGCUGACGCUGAGGCGCGACAGCGUGGGGAGCAAACAGG